UUAAGCGACUAAGCGUACACGGUGGAUGCCCUGGCAGUCAGAGGCGAUGAAGGACGUGCUAAUCUGCGAUAAGCGUCGGUAAGGUGAUAUGAACCGUUAUAACCGGCGAUUUCCGAAUGGGGAAACCCAGUGUGAUUCGUCACACUAUCAUUAACUGAAUCCAUAGGUUAAUGAGGCGAACCGGGGGAACUGAAACAUCUAAGUACCCCGAGGAAAAGAAAUCAACCGAGAUUCCCCCAGUAGCGGCGAGCGAACGGGGAGGAGCCCAGAGCCUGAAUCAGUGUGUGUGUUAGUGGAAGCGUCUGGAAAGGCGCGCGAUACAGGGUGACAGCCCCGUACACAAAAAUGCACAUGCUGUGAGCUCGAUGAGUAGGGCGGGACACGUGGUAUCCUGUCUGAAUAUGGGGGGACCAUCCUCCAAGGCUAAAUACUCCUGACUGACCGAUAGUGAACCAGUACCGUGAGGGAAAGGCGAAAAGAACCCCGGCGAGGGGAGUGAAAAAGAACCUGAAACCGUGUACGUACAAGCAGUGGGAGCACGCUUAGGCGUGUGACUGCGUACCUUUUGUAUAAUGGGUCAGCGACUUAUAUUCUGUAGCAAGGUUAACCGAAUAGGGGAGCCGAAGGGAAACCGAGUCUUAACUGGGCGUUAAGUUGCAGGGUAUAGACCCGAAACCCGGUGAUCUAGCCAUGGGCAGGUUGAAGGUUGGGUAACACUAACUGGAGGACCGAACCGACUAAUGUUGAAAAAUUAGCGGAUGACUUGUGGCUGGGGGUGAAAGGCCAAUCAAACCGGGAGAUAGCUGGUUCUCCCCGAAAGCUAUUUAGGUAGCGCCUCGUGAAUUCAUCUCCGGGGGUAGAGCACUGUUUCGGCAAGGGGGUCAUCCCGACUUACCAACCCGAUGCAAACUGCGAAUACCGGAGAAUGUUAUCACGGGAGACACACGGCGGGUGCUAACGUCCGUCGUGAAGAGGGAAACAACCCAGACCGCCAGCUAAGGUCCCAAAGUCAUGGUUAAGUGGGAAACGAUGUGGGAAGGCCCAGACAGCCAGGAUGUUGGCUUAGAAGCAGCCAUCAUUUAAAGAAAGCGUAAUAGCUCACUGGUCGAGUCGGCCUGCGCGGAAGAUGUAACGGGGCUAAACCAUGCACCGAAGCUGCGGCAGCGACGCUGAUGCGUUGUUGGGUAGGGGAGCGUUCUGUAAGCCUGUGAAGGUGUACUGUGAGGUAUGCUGGAGGUAUCAGAAGUGCGAAUGCUGACAUAAGUAACGAUAAAGCGGGUGAAAAGCCCGCUCGCCGGAAGACCAAGGGUUCCUGUCCAACGUUAAUCGGGGCAGGGUGAGUCGACCCCUAAGGCGAGGCCGAAAGGCGUAGUCGAUGGGAAACAGGUUAAUAUUCCUGUACUUGGUGUUACUGCGAAGGGGGGACGGAGAAGGCUAUGUUGGCCGGGCGACGGUUGUCCCGGUUUAAGCGUGUAGGCUGGUUUUCCAGGCAAAUCCGGAAAAUCAAGGCUGAGGCGUGAUGACGAGGCACUACGGUGCUGAAGCAACAAAUGCCCUGCUUCCAGGAAAAGCCUCUAAGCAUCAGGUAACAUCAAAUCGUACCCCAAACCGACACAGGUGGUCAGGUAGAGAAUACCAAGGCGCUUGAGAGAACUCGGGUGAAGGAACUAGGCAAAAUGGUGCCGUAACUUCGGGAGAAGGCACGCUGAUAUGUAGGUGAAGUCCCUCGCGGAUGGAGCUGAAAUCAGUCGAAGAUACCAGCUGGCUGCAACUGUUUAUUAAAAACACAGCACUGUGCAAACACGAAAGUGGACGUAUACGGUGUGACGCCUGCCCGGUGCCGGAAGGUUAAUUGAUGGGGUCAGCGCAAGCGAAGCUCUUGAUCGAAGCCCCGGUAAACGGCGGCCGUAACUAUAACGGUCCUAAGGUAGCGAAAUUCCUUGUCGGGUAAGUUCCGACCUGCACGAAUGGCGUAAUGAUGGCCAGGCUGUCUCCACCCGAGACUCAGUGAAAUUGAACUCGCUGUGAAGAUGCAGUGUACCCGCGGCAAGACGGAAAGACCCCGUGAACCUUUACUAUAGCUUGACACUGAACAUUGAGCCUUGAUGUGUAGGAUAGGUGGGAGGCUUUGAAGUGUGGACGCCAGUCUGCAUGGAGCCGACCUUGAAAUACCACCCUUUAAUGUUUGAUGUUCUAACGUUGACCCGUAAUCCGGGUUGCGGACAGUGUCUGGUGGGUAGUUUGACUGGGGCGGUCUCCUCCUAAAGAGUAACGGAGGAGCACGAAGGUUGGCUAAUCCUGGUCGGACAUCAGGAGGUUAGUGCAAUGGCAUAAGCCAGCUUGACUGCGAGCGUGACGGCGCGAGCAGGUGCGAAAGCAGGUCAUAGUGAUCCGGUGGUUCUGAAUGGAAGGGCCAUCGCUCAACGGAUAAAAGGUACUCCGGGGAUAACAGGCUGAUACCGCCCAAGAGUUCAUAUCGACGGCGGUGUUUGGCACCUCGAUGUCGGCUCAUCACAUCCUGGGGCUGAAGUAGGUCCCAAGGGUAUGGCUGUUCGCCAUUUAAAGUGGUACGCGAGCUGGGUUUAGAACGUCGUGAGACAGUUCGGUCCCUAUCUGCCGUGGGCGCUGGAGAACUGAGGGGGGCUGCUCCUAGUACGAGAGGACCGGAGUGGACGCAUCACUGGUGUUCGGGUUGUCAUGCCAAUGGCACUGCCCGGUAGCUAAAUGCGGAAGAGAUAAGUGCUGAAAGCAUCUAAGCACGAAACUUGCCCCGAGAUGAGUUCUCCCUGACUCCUUGAGAGUCCUGAAGGAACGUUGAAGACGACGACGUUGAUAGGCCGGGUGUGUAAGCGCAGCGAUGCGUUGAGCUAACCGGUACUAAUGAACCGUGAGGCUUAACCUU
rnacentral:rRNA from 1 species